rnacentral:rRNA from 1 species
CAUGCAAGUCGAGCGGAGAUGAGGUGCUUGCACCUUAUCUUAGCGGCGGACGGGUGAGUAAUGCUUAGGAAUCUGCCUAUUAGUGGGGGACAACAUUCCGAAAGGAAUGCUAAUACCGCAUACGUCCUACGGGAGAAAGCAGGGGAUCUUCGGACCUUGCGCUAAUAGAUGAGCCUAAGUCGGAUUAGCUAGUUGGUGGGGUAAAGGCCUACCAAGGCGACGAUCUGUAGCGGGUCUGAGAGGAUGAUCCGCCACACUGGGACUGAGACACGGCCCAGACUCCUACGGGAGGCAGCAGUGGGGAAUAUUGGACAAUGGGGGGAACCCUGAUCCAGCCAUGCCGCGUGUGUGAAGAAGGCCUUAUGGUUGUAAAGCACUUUAAGCGAGGAGGAGGCUACUGAGACUAAUACUCUUGGAUAGUGGACGUUACUCGCAGAAUAAGCACCGGCUAA